rnacentral:rRNA from 1 species
ACGGAAGGCAGCAGUGGGGAAUAUUGCGCAAUGGGCGAAAGCCUGACGCAGCGACGCCGCGUGAGGGAAGAAGGUCUUCGGAUCGUAAACCUCUGUCAGAAGGGAAGAAGUCAUGUUGGGCCAAUCACCAUCAUGUUGACGGUACCUUCAAAGGAAGCACCGGCUAACUCCGUGCCAGCAGCCGCGGUAAUACGGAGGGUGCGAGCGUUAAUCGGAAUUACUGGGCGUAAAGCGCUCGUAGGCUGUCUUGCAAGUCAAGGGUGAAAUCCCCGUGCUCAACAUGGGAACUGCCUUUGAAACUGCAGGACUUGAGUAUGUGAGAGGAUAGCGGAAUUCCGGGUGUAGCAGUGAAAUGCGUAGAUAUCCGGAAGAACAUCAGUGGCGAAGGCGGCUAUCUGGCACAAAACUGACGCUGAGGAGCGAAAGCGUGGGUAGCAAACAGGAUUAGAUACCCUGGUA